GCCGGGAUGGCGGAAUCGGUAGACGCGACGGUCUCAAAAACCGUUGGGGGCAACCUCGUGCGGGUUCGACUCCCGCUCCCGGCA
rnacentral:tRNA from 1 species